ACGGGGGGGGCAAGCGUUGUUCGGAAUUACUGGGCGUAAAGGGCUCGUAGGUGGCCAACUAAGUCGGACGUGAAAUCCCUCGGCUUAACCGGGGAACUGCGUCCGAUACUGGUUGGCUUGAGUUUGGGAGAGGGAUGCGGAAUUCCAGGUGUAGCGGUGAAAUGCGUAGAUAUCUGGAGGAACACCGGUGGCGAAGGCGGCAUCCUGGACCAACACUGACGCUGAGGAGCGAAAGCCAGGGGAGCAAACGGGAUUAGAAACCCCCGUAGUCC
rnacentral:rRNA from 1 species